ensembl:lncRNA
CUAGGGUCACACAUCUGAUGCUCAUCUUUUCCUUUUUUUUUUUUUAACUUUACCUUCUGUUUUAAAAUCAAUAUUGUUUAUUGGCUUCAAGGCAGAAGAGUGGUACAAAUAUUGGUUAAAUGACUUCCCCACUGUCACACAGCUAGGAAGUAUCUGAGAUCAAAUUUGAACCCAGGACCUUGGUCUUUAGGCCUGGCUCUCAACCCACUGAGCCACCCAGCUGUCCCCUAUUCUCACCUUUUCUAAACAUUUCUCAAUCUUUCAUUCUAUCGGCCCAUGCCUUUCUGACUACAGGAAGUUCACUGCUUAUGGAGCCCUGCAUAUUCUUUUUUAUUCUACCAGUGACACAAUUAUAUUAGCCUCUGGGGAAGCUUCUGGCUGACUCUGGACUCCCAGUAAAAACUUAGUUUUGGAUGUCCCAUUUUCCAAAUAUCAAUGCUUUGGGGGAAUGAUGUUUUGUCUGUAAUGCUGACUCUCAGGGCUUCAUGACCUCUGACAUAGGCAUGACUGAGACAAUAGGGAAGGACUCAGAAAGUAUUAAGGAUGUCACAUUUCCUGAGUUGGUGACAUCCGGUCCUUCCCUGUACUUUAUGUCCAAAUUUCAGGAAGAUUGCCAGCAGCCAGAUACAAAACUUUGCCACGAAUACAAACAACAUGGCAAAUCCAGCUGAGUGGUGGGGAUUGCUGGGGUGGCAGGGAGAUUUGUGAGUAGGGAAUGGGAGUUCAGUAUGGCUCUGGGAAAAUCUGACAUGGAUGUAGAUUAUCUUCUAUUCCUCUAUCCUUUUCCCUUGACCUCUGCUACUGGUUUGCAUCUUCUCUCCCUUCUCCUUUAUCGGUGUUCUUAUUUCCUCCUAACUCCCACAGUCUGUGGACCAGUUGGGAGUUCCCCUGCCCUUUCAGCCAUGGAAGAAAUGUGGCCCCUCUGGAUGCUGAUGCCUGGUUGCCUUUCUUUACUUAUUCUCGAUCUUGUUCCUAUCCUAUCCCUGUGAGGGUGGGUAGGAUCCGGAAUCCCAAUGUAUAUCUGGAAGGAAAUGGCUUACGUUGGCAAGAGAGGCAGGAAAGGAGAGGGAAGGGAACCUACCGAGUGCCAGGUGCUAAGUGCUUUUUACAAAUGAUCUCAUUUGAGGUGGCCCCGUGGACAGAUACAGUGCUUGGAAUCAGGAAGAUCUGUCUCAGAAAGCUCCUCACUAUCCAGCCCUUGGUGUUAUGGAAGAAAAAUCUCCUUUUUGAGUUCAUGUGGUUGGUAACUGCUGCCAAAAUGGAUCUCCUACAAUGCAGAAAUUGUAAAGGUAAGAACCUGGGCUUUAGUAUGCUUAAGUAUAGUUUCAGAGAAGUGAAAAAAGAACCCCUGAACAACUAUUAGGGUUCUAACAAAGCUUUUUAUUGACAAAAUUAUGUCAGUGGCAGAGAAAUUAUUCUUUUUAACUCUUACCUUCAUUAACCAAUUAUAUCAGAGCGACAUAACAGAAAUAACAUUUCUGUUAUUUAUAUAUAUAGAUAUUUAUAUAUAUGUGUUAUUUAUAAAUAUAAAUAUUUAUAUAUAUGUUAUUUAUAUGUAUAUAAAUAACAGACAGAAAUAACAUUUUUUUAACCCUUAGCUUCUAUCUUAGUAUCAAUUCUAAGACGAAAGAGUGGCAAGGCUUAGGCAAUUGGAGUUAAGUGAUUUGCCCACUCACACUGCUAGGAAAUGUUUGAGGUCAGAUUUGAACCCAGGCUGCUUCCAACUCCAGACCUGAUUAUGUCCAUUGUGUAUCUAGCUGUUCCUAAGAAAUAAUUCUUUUAUGUAUUGCAAUCUCAUGUAUUCUUUUAGGCUACAAUAGUUUUUUAAAAAGAUAACUUUAAUUCUAUGCUUUCUUCAAUGUUAUAAAAGUUGAACAAGUUUAGUUAAGCUAAAUAAUAAUAUGAAACAGUCAGUUUUUUUUUAAAUCCUAAUAAUGAUUAUAAUCCCUUUUCAUUUUAAUCUGUUAAUCUUUUCCUGUUAAGGCAAGGGCUCUUAUACAUCCCCUAAAGAAGGUAAACUAAGUCAGGUUUCAGAGUAAACAACAUUUAGAAGUUUCACAAUGGGUUUAUUGAGAGGACAGAUUUACAUGCCUGAGUAUUAGAUGAAUCUUUCCUUAAAUCAACUAACUUGGAAAGCCUUGACUUCCUUUUUUGGCUUCUUAUCUAAGGAAUAUUUGAGGCCUUAAGUAAAUUUUAACAUCCCAUGAGACAAGUUCCCACCAGCUCAAUAACCUCUUUAACUAGGAGAAAUGGCCCUUCCCCAUUACAACCAACAGAAAGAAGGUAGUACAACUAAGGACGAUCAAGAAAAGUUUCCUAAAGGUGAGAUCUUAGUAUGGGCUUGAAGGAAGUUGGGAAAACCAGGAGGAAAAUGAGGAAGUAGAGUAUUUCAGGCAUGGGAGACACCAGAGAAAAUACCCAGAGUCAGGGAUAGCUAGGGGGCUCAGUGGAUUGAUAGCCAGGCCUAGAGUAUUGGUUUCUUUUCUUUUUUUCCCCCCAAGGCCUUGGUUUAUUUUUAAAAUGCAGUUUGUUAUUUUAUCUUUUAUUUUUACAUCACUAUUUCCCAAUGUCCCUUCUUUUCCUGCUCCUCCCAGAUAGCUAUUUUGUAUAUAAUAGAAACAAAGUAAAUGGAAACCAGUUCAUCCAAACUAAUGUAUUCAAAAGUCUGACAUUAUAUAUAGUGUUCCAUAUCCAUAGUGCACCCUUCUCCCUUUGUCUUCUGCAAAUUUUUAAAAUUUUACUUAUUUCCACAUUUUUUAAAGAAUAUUUUUCCAUGGUUACAUGAUUCAUGUUCUCUUCCUCCCUGCUUCCCUCCCUCCUCCUGGAACUGACAAACAAUUUCACUGGUUUAUGCAUGUCUUAUUAUAAAGUAUUGGUUUCAAGGAAGAAUGUAGGGACUAGGUAAUUGGAACUAAGUUACUUACCCAGCACUGCACAGCUAAAAAGUGUCCGGGGUCAAAUUUGAACUCAGGACCUCCCUGGCUCUCUAUCCACUGAAUCACCUAGCCCCCCAAACCCUGUGGACAUUUUUUUGUCCAUGAGGAUUUUUUGUCAAAGAUACUUGAGUGGUUUGCCAUUUCCUUCUCCAGUGUGCCCUCAAUUUACAGAAGAGGAACGAAGGCAAAUAGGGUGAAGUGACUUGCCAAGAGUCAUACAUUCCUAAGACAGGAUUUGAACUCAGAUCUUCCUGACUCCAACCCUGGUACUCUAUCCACUGCAUUACCUGCCUACCUCUAAUUAAAAAUUAGAACUAUGCCAAGUGGAAUAAGCUGCUUCUAAAGACCUUGAGCUCCUAUCAAUGAAUAUCUUUUUGGUAGAGGUUAGACUAGCUGUCUGAGGUCUUUUUCAUCUCAAAGAUGCCAAGAUUCUAUGAUAUUUAACUGAAUUUUAAAUUCCAUUAAUGAACUAUUUAAAUACAUUUAAAAGAAUAUAAGAAAAGCAUGCAAAAUGAAACAAAGAUUAUAAAUCAUUAUUUCUUAUCCAUAUCUAUAACUUCUAUUUUUGCCCUAUCCCAAAAGAUAUGUUUACUGACUUUUAACAAAGUAUUUCUGUUACCUUUGUUUUUUUUAUCCUUCUUUGAUUUUCAUUGGAUAUAUAACAUAGAUUUGCUGCCAUUAUUGUUGUCCUUAAUUCAAUGGUUUGGUCAAUGAAUGUUAUUUUUUUAGUUCUACUUUCUUCACUCUUAAUGACUGAACAAGUACCUUGAACAAGGACCUCCAUUCAAGCUUAGCCACACGGAAAGAUGAUCAUAUCUUUGAUCUUACUAUCACCCACAAAAGCACCAUUUCCAAGUUUAUGGAUUCUGAAAUUCUUUAUCUGAUCACAGUCUAUUAUCAUUUCCCCUAUCCAUCUGCUUUGCAAACCCGAUCCCUAUUCUUUGACCACACUAUGACCUUCAAUCCUCAUUCCUCUAGCCAUGCAAUACCUACAGUCUUCUACUUUCCCUUCAUUGAUCUGUUGGUGCAUCAAUUCAACUCUUCUCUUCCAAACUCAACUUCUUAAGUCCAUUGUUCCGGUAAAGAGUUAAACAACUGGGAAGCCAGGCAUUUCACAUGGACUAGACAGAGCCGUCUCUAGAGAUCUCAGAAUCUGCAAAGCUAGACUUGGGUUUUUGAUGCAAUUCUACUUGCUGAUUUGCAAAGAAGUUUUUAUUCGGAUCUCUCCUCAUUGAUUCCUUUGUAUAUUUUUAAAGGGUAUAAACAUUGUAGGUGGAAGGGGGAGCUACAAAGGGCUUGGGCUAAUGGUCUCUGGGUAGCAUUGUUGAUAUCUGGUAUCAUGGAACCUAAUAUUAUGAACCUCGUGCUUGUUAGAUCUUCUGUCUCAGGACACUUCGGAUUAGAGUUCUCUGCACAAUCACAAAUCCUGUAUCCACCUUAGCAGUUCCUCUUAGGGCUUGUGAGGAAUAGAAAUAUCCCAAUCAACCAAAAGAACAAAGAAGGUGCCAAAUGGCAAUAAUAUUCUGGGUCCUGGAAGUAUGGUUGCAAGACAUUCAGUUUGGGGCAUUAAGUUAUUGACCUGGACUCCUAUUGCAAGGUUCUCAGUGUUGAAAAUUCAAUAGCUCUGCAGUAAUAAAUACCCUGGUGGGGAGAUAUUUUUCUGUAGC